rnacentral:rRNA from 1 species
AUUGAACGCUGGCGGCAGGCCUAACACAUGCAAGUCGAGCGAGCGGCGGACGGGUGAGUAAUGUAUGGGGAUCUGCCCGAUAGAGGGGGAUAACUACUGGAAACGGUGGCUAAUACCGCAUACUAUCGGAUGAACCCAUAUGGGAUUAGCUAGUAGGGGGGGUAAAGGCUCACCUGGGCGACGAUCUCUAGCUGGUCUGAGAGGAUGAUCAGCCACACUGGGACUGAGACACGGCCCAGACUCCUACGGGAGGCAGCAGUGGGGAAUUUUGGACAAUGGGGGCAACCCUGAUCCAGCCAUGCCGCGUGCAGGAUGAAGGUCUUCGGAUUGUAAACUGCUUGUGUCAGGGAAGCGGUACCUGAAGAAUAAGCACCGGCUAACUACGUGCCAGCAGCCGCGGUAAUUC